rnacentral:rRNA from 1 species
CCCUUAGAUGUUCUGGGCCGCACGCGCGCUACACUGAUGCAUUCAACGAGUUUCUUCCUGGUCCGAGAGGAAUGGGUAACCUUUUGAAAGUGCAUCGUGAUAGGGAUAGACUAUUGCAAUUAUUGGUCUUCAACGAGGAAUUCCUAGUAGACGUAGUUCAUCAGACUGCAUCGAUUACGUCCCUGCCCUUUGUACACACCGCCCGUCGCUCCUACCGAUUGAAUGCUCAGGUGAGCCAUUCGGACCUUCAUCAUGCCGGUUUCCGGUUUUGAUGGGGGAAAGUCUUGCGAACCUUAUCAUUUAGAGGAAGGAGAAGUCGUAACA